rnacentral:rRNA from 1 species
GACAGUGGAGGCAAGCGUUGUUCGGAAUCAUUGGGAUUAAAGCGCGCGUAGGAGGCCUUGUAAGUGUCUUGUGAAAUCCCACGGCUCACCCGUGGAACUGCAGGGCAAACUGCAAGACUUGAGGUCGGUAGAGGAGCCUGGAUCUCUAGGUGGAGCGGUGAAAUUCGUAGAUAUCUAGGGGAACGCAGGAGGCGAAAGCGGGGCGCUGGGCCGAUUCUGACGCUGAUGCGCGAAAGCGAGGGGAGCAAACAGG